rnacentral:rRNA from 1 species
GACGAACCGUGCGAACGUUAUUCGGAAUCACUGGGCUUAAAGGGCGCGUAGGCGGGCCCGCAAGUCAGGGGUGAAAUCCUCCGGCUCAACCGGAGAAGUGCCUUUGAUACUGCGGGCCUCGAGGGAGGUAGGGGCGUGCGGAACUUCCGGUGGAGCGGUGAAAUGCGUAGAUAUCGGAAGGAACACCGGUGGCGAAAGCGGCGCGCUGGACCUCUUCUGACGCUGAGGCGCGAAAGCCAGGGGAGCAAACGGG